UAGGGAAUCUUCCACAAUGGACGCAAGUCUGAUGGAGCAACGCCGCGUGAGUGAAGAAGGCUUUCGGGUCGUAAAACUCUGUUAUUGAAGAAGAACGUGUGUGACAGUAACUGGUCAUGCAGUGACGGUAUUCAAUCAGAAAGUCACGGCUAACUACGUGCCAGCAGCCGCGGUAAUACGUAGGUGGCAAGCGUUGUCCGGAUUUAUUGGGCGUAAAGCGAGUGCAGGCGGUCUUUUAAGUCUGAUGUGAAAGCCUUCGGCUUAACCGAAGAAGGGCAUCGGAAACU
rnacentral:rRNA from 1 species